UAAAUAGUAGCUUAAACAACCCAAAGCAUUGGACUGUUAAUCCAAAGAUGUAACUUAUUGCCUAUUUAG
rnacentral:tRNA from 1 species